AUGUUGGGAGGAAAAGAGAGUUUAGAAGUCUUAUGAACAUUAAUUUUGGUUAGAUUAAAAAAUUGAAAAAACUAGCUAGGUUAUAUUUCGAAGGAAACUAUAUUGGUGGGAAGAUGAGCAUUUGUGACCGUUUACAAGAGUUAAUACCGAAACAGAAAAUUUCGGAUGUGUGGAGCCAAAAAUAAUCAAGAGGCGACACGUGGAUUUUUAGGUGAAUAGGACAAAAUUACCCUUGAGACACACCGGGUUUCUUACACGCGAGCAGUGGAGAAUUAUCCAUCAACCAAGUCAAGAGUGCCCAAAAUAGGUAACAAGUUCAAAUUUAUCUCAUCCAUCUUUACUCCAUAUCCUCUACAAGGAAAUAAUUCCAUAACCUUCAAAACCUUCCAUAUAAAUUAAAUUAAUUAGGCUAAUUAAUGGAUUAAUUCCAAAUUAAUCCAUUAAUCACCAAAUUAAUCACCAUUACACCCUAAAAAACAUCCAAGGGCUAGCCACUCUCUUCCAAAGAGGGUCAGCCAUGCUCUAUAAAUAGGACUCCAUUUUCUUUGAAAGACUUGUUCCACACUCUUGCAAAACUCCCAAAAAACUCUCCAAACACUUUUUUCUCUAAAUUCUAACUUUGGCAUUGGAGGUUCUUCGGCCAAAGCCCCCCAUUCAUCGUGGGCACAUGAGGCUCUUGGCCUUGACCUAAGGUGUUAAUUGUUUUGUAGGUGCAAUUUUGUCCAAGAAGAAGAAGGCGGAAAUUUGCAUCCACAAAUUGGUGCUUUCAUUGAUAGCUGAGUCCCACACUCGUAGAAGACUCUCGCAUUCAAGGUUUUCUAUUUUCUUGUCCAUAUGUAGAUUUUUCGUACGUUCUUAUUAUUAGAAUUUUUUAUUUGCAAAAAUUCUUUGAUAAAACGUAAAAGAGAAGUACAAUGGCUAGAAAUUUAGAAAAUUCAACAAAUGAAAUUUUCAACAUUCAAAAAAUGGGACCAUGGCGAUCCACGAGGCUAAAUGUGACAAUAAGUGGAGUGGCACCACCACCACGAGUUUCCAC
rnacentral:lncRNA from 1 species